rnacentral:rRNA from 1 species
UGGAUAGGGGUUCUGAGAGGAAGGUCCCCCACAUUGGUACUGAGACACGGACCAAACUCCUACCGGAGGCAGCAGUGAGGAAUAUUGGUCAAUGGGCGUAAGCCUGAACCAGCCAAGUCGCGUGAGGGAUGAAGGUUCUAUGGAUCGUAAACCUCUUUUAUAAGGGAAUAAAGUGCGGGACGUGUCCCGUUUUGUAUGUACCUUAUGAAUAAGGAUCGGCUAACUCCGUGCCAGCAGCCGCGGUAAUACGGAGGAUCCGAGCGUUAUCCGGAUUUAUUGGGUUUAAAGGGUGCGUAGGCGGCCUUUUAAGUCAGCGGUGAAAGUCUGUGACUCAACCAUAGAAUUGCCGUUGAAACUGGGAGGCUUGAGUAUGUUUGAGGCAGGCGGAAUGCGUGGUGUAGCGGUGAAAUGCUUAGAUAUCACGCAGAACCCCGAUUGCGAAGGCAGCCUGCCAAGCCAUGACUGACGCUGAUGCACGAAAGCGUGGGGAUCAAACAGGAUUAGAUACCCUGGUAGUCCACGCACU